GAUGAACGCUGGCGGCGUGCCUAAUACAUGCAAGUCGAGCGAACAGACGAGGAGCUUGCUCCUCUGACGUUAGCGGCGGACGGGUGAGUAACACGUGGAUAACCUACCUAUAAGACUGGGAUAACUUCGGGAAACCGGAGCUAAUACCGGAUAAUAUAUUGAACCGCAUGGGUCAAUAGUGAAAGACGGUGUUGCUGUCACGUAUAGAUGGAUCCGCGCCGCAUUAGCUAGUUGGUAAGGUAACGGCUUACCAAGGCAACGAUGCGUAGCCGACCUGAUAGGGUGAUCGCCCACACUGGAGCUGGGCCACGGUCCAGACUCCUACGGGAGGCAGCAGUAGGGAAUCUUCCGCAAUGGGCGAAAGCUUGACGGAGCAACGCCGCGUGAGUGAUGAAGGUCUUCGGAUCGUAAAACUCUGUUAUUAGUGAAGAACAAAUGUGUAAGUAACUAUGCACGUCUUGACGGUACCUAAUCAGAAAGCCACGGCUAACUACGUG
rnacentral:rRNA from 1 species